rnacentral:rRNA from 1 species
UACGUAGGGUGCGAGCGUUGUCCGGAAUUAUUGGGCGUAAAGAGCUCGUAGGCGGUUUGUCACGUCUGCUGUGAAAUCCCGAGGCUCAACCUCGGGCCUGCAGUGGGUACGGGCAGACUGGAGUGCGGUAGGGGAGAAUGGAAUUCCUGGUGUAGCGGUGAAAUGCGCAGAUAUCAGGAGGAACACCAACGGCGAAGGCAGCUCGCUGGGACGGUACUGACACUGAGGCGCGAAAGCGUGGGGAGCGAACAGG